GCUUUGCCAGGGUGGUAACUAGCCACGGCCGAAGCCUCCCACCAGACUAGACCAGAAAUUUAGAAAUUCCAAACCCUUGCCGGGAAUCGAACCCGGGCCCUCCCACUAAUAAGACCACUGUGCCAAGGAGGCCGUCAAAUAUGUGCCCUGCCCAUUACCACUUCAGCUUCACAAUUCAUUGAGCUAUCUCUGUUACUUGUAUUUUGUAGUCCUAUUAAAUAGUUGGUAAUUUCUAAGCGGCCUGAGUAUAUUAUUAUUACACGGCAUACAGUAUAUUAUAUUCUAAAAUAAGCGUGAAUUGAAAACCUAGAUCAAUAAGCGAAGAAACAAAUUUGUAUUAAAACGAAAAGUUUAAAAGUA